CGAGUGAGCCCGUUCAGCGGUAGCACAGGUUCUCUCUCUCUCAGAAGAAGAAGAAACUAAGUGGCUAUUUAUCCAUUUUCCACCCUCAAAAUUGUAUCGACGAGUGGCUAAGCGUGUUGGUGUGUGGGGGGAAGCUGCCGUGGUCGCCAUUCUCGGACCACCAGCAAGUCGACGGGCCGCCUCGACACUUUUCUUCGCCACUAUGGUUAACCCAAUUAUUUACAUGGACGGGGACCAGAUCAUGCGCAUGGUGCUGAGCGCUGUGCCAUACUUCCUCCUGUGCAUGGUGUUCUGGAUCUUCCUACGUCUGGCAUGGCGGUGCAUCACCUUCCCCAUGGAGGAGCGGUACAAGAUCAGGCAGCAAGAGGAGGAGGAGGAGGAGAAAAAGAAGAAGUAAACAAAUAUGGAGCAGGAAGGGGAGAAUGGGAUUGGGAAGAAGCAGAAGCUGUACAGAAAGUAGGAAGAGGAGGAGGAGGAGAAGAGAGAAGAGUGCGCAAUGGAGAACAGGGAGGUGGAGGAUUGGGUGGAGAGUUCGAAGAGAAGAAAGGUGGAGGAGACAACGGUAAUAAGAAGAGGUGGAGAACAGUAACAGAAGAUGUAAGAGGAGGAGAAAGAUAAACUGGAAGAGGAAUAUAGGGAAACUUUACGAAAGAAAGCAUGAAAGAGAAAAGAAAUUUUGAGAAAAUAUGAUAACUAAUUAGAACAAAUCAGGUAAAGGAAACUCGGUAAAGGAAGAGGACACGCAACAUAAAGAAGCAGAAUAAGCAACAAAGAAGUAAAAACUCGCCAAAAUAACAAGAGACUAGAGAAAAUAAAGAAAAAGUAGAACAAAAUAAUGAAAUCAAGAGAAAGAGCUAACAAGAAAAAAAGAGAAGGGAAACAAAGAUAAACAAAAAUAACACGAAGGAACGUAGUGGUAAGCAACAACAACAACAAAUGCGACAAUUAAACAACAGAAACAAGGACAGCGAUAAUAAUGUUGUCAACAUAGACACAAUACAACAGCUCCAUCAAUAUGGACGACAACAGUGAUUUAUACAACAACAACAACAGUAGGGAGAACAAGAACAACAGUAGGGGAGAACAAGAAGAGAGAGAACACCAUCAACAGCGAGAACAACAACAGAAGUGACAUCAACAAUAACAAUAGCCAUUAAUUGAAUCUUCUCAAGCUCACGUCAUGGACUAAGCUCACCUCGUGGGCUCCUAGGCUCUCGUCAUAGCCUCCUAGGCUCACGUCACAAUCUCCUAAGCUCACGUCAUGGCCUCCUAGGCUCACGUCAUAAUUUCUGGGCUCACGUCGUGGCCUCCUAGGCUCACGUCAAUGCCUCCUAUAGGCUCACGUCAUAAUCCCUGGGCUCACGUCAUGGCCUCCUAUAGGCUCACGUCAUGGCCUCCUAGGCUCACGUCAUGGCCUUCUAGGCUCGAAUCAUGGGCUCCUAGGCUCACGUCAUAGCCUUCUAAUCUCACGUCCUGGUCUCCCAAGCUCACGUUAGUCUUCACACACUUAUGUAUCGCUAAUUUUGUCAUAUAAAAAGCAAAUGCUGUCAUACAGCAAGCACAUGUCAGUCAGAAGGUAAUGUUGACAUAUAGGAAUGAAAUGUCGUACAGGAAGUAAAUGUUGUCGUACAGGAAGUAAAUGUUGUCGUACAGGAAGUAAAUGUUGCCGUACAGGAAGUAAAUGUUGUCGUACAGGAAGUAAAUGUUGUCGUACAGGAAGUAAAUGUUGUCGUAUAGGAGGUAAAUGUUGUCGUACAGGAGGUAAAUGUUGUCGUACAGGAGACCCCGUGGCGCAGUGGUAAGACAUUCGCCCCGCGCUUCCCGAGCGAUUUGGCCUGGGUUCAAUCAGGGGAGGAUUGACUAGGCGCCAGUUCUUAACUGUACGCCUCUGUUCACCUAGCAAUGAAUAGAUACCUGGUUGUUAAACAAUAAAAAAAGUAAAUGUUGUCAUGCAGGAGGUAUAUGCACAAAGAAAUCACAUUACCGUGAUGUAUCAAUCAGUAGGAGCCAUGAGGAGGAUUCGAACCUAUACACUGGGUUCUCCCAGGCAAACGCUCUCUAGACCACUACACCACGACACUGUAAAAGCAUUGCAACCUGGGAUUCAACUGAAUCCUCUAGGGGUUUCCGAGGCUUCCACUGAACCCUCACCAGGUUUUCACACAAUGCACUCUGGCUUGUAGUCGAGGAAUACUACUUCCCGCACUUCUCUUCAAAUGCACAAAGGAAUCACAUUUGAAAAUGUGAUUUUCAAAUUUGAUUUGAAAAUCACAUUUUCGCUAUUUGAACACCAUUUGAAAUUCAGAAAAUGGUGUCCUGCGGAAAGAAAAUACCGUACGUGAAGAAAAACGUACACUGGGUAAGUCUUGUCGACAAAAGACAUUGUACAGACAAAAAUAUUGUUGUAGUGACAUAGAGUGUCAUAAAUGGAUGAAAUAUUUCAUUAUCUAAGAAAACGUUGUCAUGCAAGUAGAAGUCAUAUAUUGUGACAGCCUAAUCUAAACUCACUGGGGUUUGAUACCCAUCACACGAUAUCUAAUUCCAGAUAAAUAGCCUUCAAAACACUGUGAUCUCUAGUGAAACACAUGUUCUGCAUAUUUCAAGAUCUUAUAAUAGAUGGAGCCGUCCAAUAAUAACCGCGAAUUGUUCUAAUUGAAUGUCUUAUAGGAUUUUCUUAGGAAAAAAUGUUACCUGAAGAAUACAAACACAGGUGUCGGUCAUAGUCAUUAUUAUCGAGACUAUAGCAAAGGUUCGAGGCACUUGAAGCUUUGUGAACGAAUGAAGUCAAUGUCUGGCCUCCUUUCUGAUACAUGUUUAAUAUCAUAUAACUCCUUCGUAGCUUCAAGUGUCGAGAAUUGACGUCCUUUUUAAUUCAUGGAAGAUUCCCGUUUCAGUCCGUUCAGGGCGAAACUAGACAUGGCGAGAUGGUACGAGAUCAGGUGAGGAGCCAGCUGACAGGUCAGGGAAGUGAGGAGCCAGCUGACAGGUCAGGGAGAUGAAGAGCCAGCUGACAGGUCAGGGAAGUGAGGAGCCAGCUGACAGGUCAGGGAGGUGAGGAGCCAGCUGACAGGUCAGGGAGGUGAGGAGCCAGCUGACAGGUCAGGGAGGUGAAGAGCCAGCUGACAGGUCAGGGAGGUGAAGAGCCAGCUGACAGGUCAGGGAAGUGAGGAGCCAGCUGACAGGUCAGGGAGGUGAGGAGCCAGCUGACAGGUCAGGGAGGUGAGGAGCCAGCUGACAGGUCAGGGAGGUGAAGAGCCAGCUGACAGGUCAGGGAGGUGAAGAGCCAGCUGACAGGUCAGGGAGAUGAAGAGCCAGCUGACAGGUCAGGGAGGGGAGGAGCUAUCAGACAAGUCAGAUCAUAGUGACGAAAAGACAUCAUCAGCGUCCAGGAGUGUACGAACGUCACAACCUCACGCACAACGUUGCUUGUAUCGUCAGGUAACGCUCAUAGUUGCCAACGCACUUCAUUAUUUGUUGUAAAUAUCGUUAGCUAUAAGUGCUGGGAGGAUAACUUGUUAAAGACUAACUAUACCUAGAGUCCUUAUAGACAUUUUUGGGGGAGAUGUAAGUCUUACGAACAUUGAAAACAUUUUGUAUGGACAAUCAUUUACGAAUUAUCAUUUUACAAAAUAUUUAUAGUUUGUAUUUGCAUAAAUAAAAUUACAUCAGUAAUGGAGCAAAAAAUUUGUUAGCGAAUACACGAAUAAAGAAGUUAAUUAGAAGGAAAUUAGAAAUAAUAUCCGUUUUCUGUGAUAGGCUGUCAGCUAUCCUAUGGAAGAAUUUUGUAUCCGCUCUGUGGAAUAUUGAACACAUAUAUGACCAAAUAAUAUUAAUGGUUUUAAAUUUCUCAUAAUUUUCAUAUAUAUUCCAUGUGACAAAUAAAUAGAUGACGUGGGUUGUAAAUUGGUAAAAGACGCAGAAGGCAAUAUUUUUACAAGCUCUCUUGAAAAAUAUAUAUAGAUAAACUAUUAAUGAAGUCUGUGAGUUAGCACUAAUGCAAUUGUGGUUUUUACAGGUUUAAUGUAAUAAAUAUUUUUUAGUAA
rnacentral:lncRNA from 1 species